rnacentral:lncRNA from 1 species
AAGAGCCCAUUAGCUUCACAGAUCCAGAACGGCGCAAUUAGGGUUUCACUGACCCCCUCCUGUCUUCUAUAAAACUAAGCCACAGCUCUCCUUGUUAUAAUACCCUGCCUCUUCUCCUCUUCCUCCAAUGGCGUCUGUAAUAAUCAUCGGAAUCACACCCGAGCCUCUCUGACGCUCAACCGAGCAAAUGCACCUGUUCAAAAUCACGAUAUGAACUUUCAAAUUAUUGAUCUGAGGUCAUUUACCUUUAUCUGUGCACUUAUUUUUCUCUUUUCAUUUCAGCUAAGUAAAUUGUAAGUCUGCACGUAGCCUCCCGGGCUCGUCUGAGCAAUUUUUACAUGAAGUUAGCAGCCCCAAAGCUCGUGCUAUAUCUACCGCCGCUAGUGUUGCAGUUUAGCCCUUUUGUACCUUCUUUACCCUUGGCUUUAUCUGUGUCAAAAUCAACGGCUACAUUAAAUCCUCUUUACACUAUUUCUAUGUUAAUUUCUUUUUUUUAAUUUAACCAAAAAAUGCCUCAUAUCACCUUUAGCUUAUUUUCUUCUUACUCUGUGAAAAAACUAAGCUAGUCAACGAGGCUGAAAUUAAAAUAGCAGUGUCAACGUGGGGUUUAUUGCAUUUUUCUUACUGUUUUACUCCUAAGUCCACUGCUAUAUUGUAAAUAUUUGUUUUUCUAAUUUGGGAUUUUUUUAAUGUUGGCUAUGAUUUAAAAAUUUAUCCGCGCUUCUGAGAGCAAUCUAUGAAGUAUACGAUAAAAUAAUGGUUGAAUUUCUUAAUAUGAGCCUAUGUUUUCUAAUUUUUUCUUACUAUUAAGUGAGUUUUUGACAAAACAAAAAUUAUUCAGCUUAUUUGGUUUUUGGCAGUGAUGAUAUAUAAAUACAGCUUUAAAGCCAGUUCUGCUUCUGAAAUUCCGUGAUUGAUAGAGCUGUUUAUUUCUCUGAGCCUCAAUUUCAUUAAGAAAAUUACGUUUUUCACAUAGUUUUGUCUUAAUUUAUGUGCUUUAAGUAUAAUUAUUUACGUAUAAAAUGUUUUAUUUAUUGUUAUGUUUAGCUAUGUAUACAAAUAGUUGACCUGUCUUAAUUGUACAAGUGGUUGAAUUUGGAUAAAUGUAACAAUUUUAUGAUUUUCUUGAAUAUUAAAGGUUGAGAAAAAUGUUUUUAAGUGUGAUAAUUAAUGGAGUAUUGUUUAUUAAUUAAUGAACGAUUGAUGUUUUGUUAAUAAGAGGCCAGUGAUGUAUGGUAAUUGUCCGUACCAUAUGAGGAGCUUCACGGCUCCUUUGAUUUUAAAUUUACCUUAAUUUCUGAGGCCUCUUUAAUCUUCCUCAUUUUUCCUUAUAAAACAUUAUUGUUCAAUAGGUGACUAAAGUAAUAUAAUAGCAUUAUAGCUAGUAAAAGUAUUGUUUUUUAUUGCUUAAACCUUGGCAGAGUUUGGCAGUGAUGCACAAAGCAUCUUGCGUUCAUGCAGGCCCUUAGUAAGGGCUUGAAGCCGGGACAACUAAGAAUUAUACUGUUGCUCUAAGGCUUAUUGUCUAGUUGCUGAUGAUGAUAUAAUCUAUUUUAUAUGAGGUGUAGUGGAUCCAAGUCCCUGCUUUUGCAGGGGGAACCUCUUGGCGAAACAACAUUACAAAUGAUCAUAUUGGAUUUUUCUGAAGCUAUAAUUUUUUUAGUUUUUUCAAAAUGGGAUUUUCUUUCUUGCUGAUUUCUUAAUAUGCUGAAAAAAUGAGUUUCACUAUACCCUUGCUCUUUAAAUGUGGAUGUAGGGUCUGAAAAACUCAUAUAGUUAAGUGCUGUCAUCAGCUUCUUCACUUGUACCAAACAUGUUUGGAGUCAAAUAAAAGCACUACAUUUUUUGCGUUUUUAGUUCCAUCUAAUUUCCUUUUAUUUGUUAGAGUUGAAGAAAUUGUGAUUGUUUAUUAUUUGGAGUUGCGAUUGUUGACUGUCAAAUGUGCAAUAUUAUUGUAGUCUGAUCAAAGAUGAUCAAGUAUAUCUGAUACAGUUUAGGACCAUAUUCACUAUUUGAUGAUUAACAAAAUAUGAUCAUCACCUUUUACUCUUUGAGCAAGUAGUGAAAAUGGUUCUAAAUUGUUUUGGACAUACUUUAUCCUAGCCGAUGUUGGAGUAUUUUGAAGGAUUAAGACUGCUUCUGGUACCUAUUUCUCUUGUACUUUUGUUGAUUAUUGAUAUGUCACCUCUUAUAACCAAUCACAGCACUAUUGAGUUCCAGUGCUCUAUGUCACUGUUCCCCACAUGCCAGAUUUGGUUAGCAGCCUUGAUUAAGUACAACAAAGAAAUGUGAUGAACAAUUAUCAAAGAUCAAAGGAUCUUUGUGUGAUGAUUAAACAAGUUGCUAUCUUGCAUGCAAUUGUAUCAAUUGGCCCUUGUGGUUUCAACUAGAAAAGCUUGCUCAACACACCCAUUUCCAGAUUAGUACUUGUGUAUUAUGAGAAAAUACUCCAGAAGUUGGCAAAAAUGUCCAUACGCUUAAAAUUAGUCUGAUUCAUUACUGUAAUGUAUAAGAAAGUGUGUUUCUGAAAUGAGACGUUUCUUCUUGCAUUUUGUUUGAAUUGAAAAAUGAACUAUGA